AGCUUCAGGAUCGGUUUAAAUAUAAUGUUAAGAUAGCAUCAGAACUGAAGCAACGUUUUGCAGAUGAUAUUUCGGCUCGAUCUAUUCGUCGGCCAAAAGAGGCGUAUUUAAUAACAAGGACACCUGGCAAAAAUCAACUUCUGCAUAGUUGAAAGAAGAAAGCUCGCUUAAAUUGGUCUAACGAAAAUUCAAAUUGGAGUGAAUCUGAGUGGACACGAAUCAUACUCUCGGAUCUCUGCCACCGUAAAGCAUUCGCCAUAUAUUAUAAUAUGGGGGAUACGCAUCUAAAUAUAAAACUGAAUUAAGGUGGAGUUGUGUCCAGUAUGUAAUCAGUUACUGAGAGAGAAGAUCCCAUCUUUCAGGACGAUCCUGAAUUUUAUCAUAGAUCGCGCUCUAUAAACAUGUUUAAGACGGAAGUGGACAGUAAGUCCUUAGAUUGACCAUCUAACAGUACCGACCGCAAUCCGAUAGAGAAUGUUUAGGCCCUUUUGGCCGCCAAAAUAAGAAAGCGGAACCAAACUAUGGUUGAGCUAUGGGAAUUUAUAUAAGGUGUUUGGUUUAAGGAUAUAACAGAUGAAUAUCUGAAGGUUUCAUACGAUUGGAUGCCCAAUAGCGUCAAAUAUGUAAUAAA
rnacentral:sRNA from 1 species